rnacentral:rRNA from 1 species
CAGUCGCCGCGGUAAUACGUAGGGUGCAAGCGUUAAUCGGAAUUACUGGGCGUAAAGCGUGCGCAGGCGGUUUGUUAAGACAGAUGUGAAAUCCCCGGGCUCAACCUGGGAACUGCAUUUGUGACUGGCAAGCUAGAGUGUGGCAGAGGGGGGUGGAGUUCCGCGUGUAGCAGUGAAAUGCGUAGAUAUGCGGAGGAACACCGACGGCGAAGGCAAUCCCCUGGGCCUGUACUGACGCUCAUGCACGAAAGCGUGGGGAGCAAACAGGAUUAGAUACCCCCGUAGUCCCUGUCUCUUAUAC